rnacentral:rRNA from 1 species
CACGAAAGUUCUUCUGUUUUAAAAAAACACUCAAGGAAAUUGAAUUUGUAGUGAAGAUGCUACAUUAAAAUGGUUAGACGAGAAGUCCCCAUGGAGCUUUACUGAAAGCCUAAAAGAAAUUUUUUUAUUUAUUUAUAGGCUAGACAGUUUUGUUGGGGUGAUAGUUUUUUAAAAAGUAACGAAAACGAACUAUGACGCAUGUUUCACUCUGAAAACCUUGAAGAGACAUUUGGGGUGUGUUUUAUGAUCUAUUGUUUUGAAUGAAAAAGAUAAUGAAAGCA